rnacentral:rRNA from 1 species
CCUACGGGAGGCAGCAGUAGGGAAUCUUUCACAAUGGGCGAAAGCCUGAUGGAGCAACGCCGCGUGCAGGAUGAAGGCCUUCGGGUUGUAAACUGCUUUUAUAAGCGAGAAAUAUGAUGGUAACUUAUGAAUAAGGAUCGGCUAACUACGUGCCAGCAGCCGCGGUCAUACGUAGGAUCCGAGCAUUAUCCGGAGUGACUGGGUGUAAAGAGUUGCGUAGGUGGCAUAAUAAGUAGCUAGUGAAAUCUGGUGGCUCAACCAUUCAGCCUAUUAGCUAAACUGUUAAGCUCGAGACCGUUAGGGGUAACUGGAAUUGCUAGUGUAGGAGUGAAAUCCGUAGAUAUUAGAAGGAACACCAAUAGCGUAGGCAGGUUGCUGGGACGGUUCUGACACUAAGGCACGAAAGCGUAGGGAGCAAACGGGAUUAGAUACCCCAGUAGUC